CAGAGGCUCGGCAAAUCGUCAGCGCGGGAAAGAUGGCAGUUGAAUGCGAGGUGCCCUCUCCAGUUCCCCUGAUGGAUCUGCGGAGUCGGAUAUCUGGCGCUGCGGAGAACCGAGCUGAUUGCAGUACCAGCACUCUGAAGCACUUAUUUGAGCAGGAAAGAUAAAGGGAGCCGAUUACCCUUGAGAGGGAGGACCGGCUGCGGGCCGCACCCACGUGGAGACUGGAAGGGCGAGCCUCUCCAGGACAGCCCGUAUUUGGAUCUCCUGGUCUGAGCUGAUGAUUGCCAUCCUCCAGGCAUAAUCUCUGCUGAGAGGCUCGCCAUCGUGCAGCGCUAUGCAUUGCCAGAGCACGUGAGUUCACAGAACACUGUCGCU
rnacentral:lncRNA from 1 species